rnacentral:rRNA from 2 species
ACAGAUGCUAAUACCGCAUAGAUCCAAGAACCGCAUGGUUCUUGGCUGAAAGAUGGCGUAAGCUAUCGCUUUUGGAUGGACCCGCGGCGUAUUAGCUAGUUGGUGAGGUAAUGGCUCACCAAGGCGAUGAUACGUAGCCGAACUGAGAGGUUGAUCGGCCACAUUGGGACUGAGACACGGCCCAAACUCCUACGGGAGGCAGCAGUAGGGAAUCUUCCACAAUGGACGCAAGUCUGAUGGAGCAACGCCGCGUGAGUGAAGAAGGCUUUCGGGUCGUAAAACUCUGUUGUUGGAGAAGAAUGGUCGGCAGAGUAACUGUUGUCGGCGUGACGGUAUCCAACCAGAAAGCCACGGCUAACUACGUGCCAGCAGCCGCGGUAAUACGUAGGUGGCAAGCGUUAUCCGGAUUUAUUGGGCGUAAAGCGAGCGCAGGCGGUUUUUUAAGUCUGAUGUGAAAGCCCUCGGCUUAACCGAGGAAGCGCAUCGGAAACUGGGAAACUUGAGUGCAGAAGAGGACAGUGG